GCAUGCCCUAUACAUCUAGAUGGAGGGAGUAAUUAGCGAGCUGGCAGCCUGUGAUCCUGACUGGAUUCGAUUAGAAAAAGAAAGGAUGCUGCACUGCGGUGUAUGUCUUACUUUGAAUUUGUUGGAUCAGUGAGGACCUAGCAAGGUCAAUGGUACCGUUGCUUGGCUGCGUGUGCACUUAAGGACGACAGGAAGCAUCCAAGAGAGCGGCCGGCUCACCAUGCAUGCAUGUUUCUUUGAUCCAAGUUGUUCCCUUCCUAAUCGUGAACACAACUAUCAGUACCAUCCGACUGAUUAAAUUAAAAUUGAGAAGAAAAAAAAUGAAGAACAGGGGUAUGAUCCGCCGGAUUACCGGACGCCCAAGACAAGUACAGUAGACAACAAGGCGAGAUGCAUGCAUCGAUGUGCGUCCUAAAAAACGCACACCAUCCCAUCUUCCCCUCCCGGCCUCCACCUGCUCAUACUCCUCGUCGCCGGGCACACGCACGCCACCCCAUCCUCUGCUCGCCGGCCUCUCGCGGUGGCCGAGUGGCUUCCCUGCCUGGCCGCCGCCGACCAGCCCCCGGCACCGCUGCAGUGCCUCAGGGAGGCAGGGGCUGAGGUGUGAAUGAACUGGCCCUUAAUUUUGGGACACGAGAUGGCUGGUCGCGUGUGGGACACUAUGGGCCUCGAUGCUAUGACUUGUAGAGAUGGCCUGGCCUGGGACGUUAUGGGCCUUAA
rnacentral:lncRNA from 1 species